CCCUGCUCACCUCUCAGCUGGACAGUAAGGGACGUUUACACCACACACUGACAACAUGCUGGGGACCCUCUGCACUCUCAUCACUGCUCUAACAUGUGUGAGUGGUGUGACGGUGGUGACACAGAAGCCUCCUGUUGUGACGCUGAGGAAAGGAGAGUCAGCCAACUUAGAGUGUAAUGCUCCUUUAGAUGGUGCUCGCUGGUAUAAACAGAUUCCAGGAGGAGUCCCUCAGUUUGUCCUGGUGUUUGAUCGUAGUUGGAGCUCUCCAAAGUAUGGCUCUGGUUUCUCCUCUCCCAAGUUCACAUCUACUAGUCAGUCAACAUCAAAUUAUCGUUUGAUUAUCAGAAAUGUGGAGGAGGGAGACUCAGCAGUCUAUUACUGUCACCGAUGGGAUGACUCUGCUAAGGAGGAUGUAUUCGGACAAGGCACCAAGCUGAUUGUGACAACUGGACAGUAA